rnacentral:rRNA from 1 species
UGCAGUCGAGCGGGGAAGGAGCUUGCUACCUGACCUAGCGGCGGACGGGUGAGUAAUGCUUAGGAAUCUGCCUAUUAGUGGGGGACAACAUUCCGAAAGGAAUGCUAAUACCGCAUACGCCCUACGGGGGAAAGCAGGGGAUCUUCGGACCUUGCGCUAAUAGAUGAGCCUAAGUCAGAUUAGCUAGUUGGUGGGGUAAAGGCCUACCAAGGCGACGAUCUGUAGCGGGUCUGAGAGGAUGAUCCGCCACACUGGGACUGAGACACGGCCCAGACUCCUACGGGAGGCAGCAGUGGGGAAUAUUGGACAAUGGGCGAAAGCCUGAUCCAGCCAUGCCGCGUGUGUGAAGAAGGCCUUUUGGUUGUAAAGCACUUUAAGCGAGGAGGAGGCUACCGAGAUUAAUACUCUUGGAUAGUGGACGUUACUCGCAGAAUAAGCACCGGCUAACUCUGUGCCAGCAGCCGCGGUAAUACAGAGGGUGCGAGCGUUAAUCGGAUUUACUGGGCGUAAAGCGUGCGUAGGCGGCUUUUUAAGUCGGAUGUGAAAUCCCUGAGCUUAACUUAGGAAUUGC